GAUGAACGCUAGCGGCAGGCUUAAUACAUGCAAGUCGAGGGGCAGCACAGGUAGCAAUACUGGGUGGCGACCGGCAAACGGGUGCGGAACACGUACACAACUUACCUUAGAGUGGGGGAUAGCCCAGGGAAACUUGGAUUAAUACCCCAUAAAACAGGGGGCCCGCAUGGGCAUAUUGUUAAAGAUUUAUCACUUUAAGAUGGGUGUGCGUAUGAUUAGGUAGUUGGUAGGGUAAAGGCCUACCAAGCCGACGAUCAUUAACUGGUGUGAGAGCACGACCAGUCACACGGGCACUGAGACACGGGCCAGACUCCUACGGGAGGCAGCAGUAAGGAAUAUUGGUCAAUGGACGGAAGUCUGAACCAGCCAUGCCGCGUGAAGGAUGAAGGUCCUCUGGAUUGUAAACUUCUUUUAUAGGGGGCGAAAAAGGGCCAUUCUUGGUCAACUGACGGUACCCUAUGAAUAAGCACCGGCUAACUCCGUGCCAGCCGCCGCCGUAACAC
rnacentral:rRNA from 1 species